rnacentral:tRNA from 1 species
GGUAAUGUGGCUGAGUUGUAGGCGGUAAAUUGUAAAUUUACAAACGAAUUGCUAAUUCCGUUACCA